GGGGGCGUCGUUCAGUGGUAGGACUUCGAUCUCCAAAAUCGAUAACGGGGGUUCGACUCCCUCCGCCCCUG
rfam:Microgenomates (Roizmanbacteria) bacterium GW2011_GWA2_35_8 TR89_C0029, whole genome shotgun sequence.